AGUCGGUCACACCGAUUAACUUUAGUUCGUUUCUCGCGCUCCUACGAGUAGCACGUGUUCUCUCUAUUCUUGAUUGUAAACAUAUAAUACAUAUAAUGCGUUUAGUGUCCCAAGCGUGGUAAAGCAGUCAAAGGAUAUGGUACAGCUGAAUAUUAUUUUUUAUAUCAUAUCAAAGUCGCAAACAUGUGACUCGCGCGAUCUUUUCUGACAUUUAAAGAAUACCUUUUCUUAUUUGUUUACGAGAAGUGAAAGACUGACAUUUGCGUGUUGAUUUGAAGCUGUGUAUAACCUGACUAAGCUUUGUAUGGAACAAAGAAGACUUGCAGUGGGUUUUCUUUAAAAUUGAAUUCAAAGAAGACUGAAAAUCGCGCCACGCGUCGUUCUGCUCACGUGAUUCGCCAUUUUAUCGACCGCUCAAGAUUGGAUGUUCUGAUUGGUCGAAAGUUGAUCACGUGAUUCAUUCUAACGUCAAGUUCGGCCGUCUGCUGGUGGCCGAGUGGACUUCUUAACGAGUCGCCGAGGAACAAAGGAUUGUCGUGUCGGCUUCUCGUACUCCGUUUUUCUCUAGUCGAUUAACGCAGCACUUUGCGAUAGCGAAAGCGUUUAGAAAAAAUUUGUGAAGUUGUACGUGUCUAAUUGUGCUACGUUUUAAUUGCCAUUGGGGAAAACGACUAUUCGACUUGUGUUGAACGUUUUGACAGCUUACUGCUAACGUUGAGAGAGCCAAGUUGCUCGAUUUUUCGAGAAAUUUUGAAUUUUUUUUUUCUACUACACUGACAAGGCUCGGUUGAUAUAUAAUUUGUGAUUUUCUAUUUCCACCGAGUGACGCUUGACUUGGCAUACAUAUUUCCAUAGCGCUGUCGCGCGAAAAUGGUUAGGUGAAACUUUGAAAUUUGUUGGGAUCCAUUUUGAGUGACGCGUGGUUGACAUUUCUGUUUGAAAAAUUGUUUCCGCUACUGAACGCGCAUCUUUUGAUUCUCUUGAGUGAAGUUUGUGAUUUCAUCGGGACGUGCUUGUCACGUCCCAACAAGGACGUUAAGGAGUCUAAUCAUCAGGUGUAUUGUCCGGUUCAUCACAUUUUAGGACCAGCUGGGAGCAAGCCUUGAAAAUGUACAGCAUGAACUACAUUGGAAAGUUCAUCAGCAAUUUUCGGGACUUUUAUAACGAAAUUAAUACUGCUACUCUCACUGGAGCAAUUGAUGUGGUUGUUGUAGAACAGGCUGAUGGAUCAUUCAAUUGUUCUCCAUUCCAUGUUCGUUUUGGAAAAUUGGGUGUACUCCGUUCCAGAGAAAAAGUGGUGGAUAUUGAAAUAAAUGGAGAGCCACGACAGAUUCAUAUGAAAUUAGGAGACUCUGGAGAGGCUUUCUUUGUCGAAGAAGUUGGUUCUGAUGGUUCACCCGCAGACUCGGAAAUUCCACCGCAUUUAGCAUGCUCACCAAUUCCUGUCGACAGUUGUUUUCCAUCCACCAGAUUCAAUCUGCUCUCGGAUUUGCCACAAGAACAGCACGAGAAGAUCCUGAGGGAUUCUGUGUUGUCCAUCGAACGUGAAAAAUGGGAGCAAAUGUCCUCCUUGCCACCUGACGAACGUGAGAAAUUCCUUGUUGAACAGUUUUCCGACCUACCUAUCGAGCACCGUGAGAAAUGGCUACAGAUCGCAUCUCUUACAUCCGAAGAAAGAGACAAAAUAUUCCGGGAGAGCUUUGGCAGCGUUUCUACGUUGCAAAAGCAGCGGAUGAUCCGUGAGCAGUAUUCUGCCUUAAAGAACGAAGACAAGGAGAGACUCUUCAAGGAGAACUUUCCAGAACUACCAGCAGAGCAGCGACAAAAAUUUGAAAAGGCUUUGUUGACUGACUGGCCGAGUAAAGAUGAGAAGUGGGAGAAGAAGGAAAAGAUUUUGAAGGACGACGAUGAGGAAAUUUUUGACAUGGACAACAUCAACGAGGACGAACCGCGACCUGCUCUGUCUACACCAAAAUCAUUUGUCGCUGUUACCUCAUCCGAAAGGAUUCGCAAGAUCAGUGUUGUGAACAAUGACUUCAGACCGAUCACUGAUGAUCCUCAAAGCAGUAGCAAGGAAAAAUCAAGCGAUGAGUCAAAUACAUCCUUGACUAAGAAGAACUCGAAGGAGGAGUCGGUGGAGGAAGUGAAGACUAGCAAUAACUCGAAGAGAAAGAGGAAGAGGAAGAGUAUCAUGAGGAAGAAAGGUUCCCAGAGGAAGACCAGCAAUGGCAGCAGCAGUCAGACGGAAAUGAGCGAAACUGACAUUCUUGUGGCUGAUGAAUCCCAGAGUGAACCUAUAUUGAAGGGUCCUAGUCCGGUCGCCGAGGUCGAGACUAAGAAUGCAUCUUGUGAAACAAUUACCAUUCAUUCAUCGUACACUCAGGAGACAUUGGUCAAACAUCCUGAAACAGACUUCCAUUUCUUCAGUGACACCGAAGUCACAAAGAACCGGGAUUCUAGGCCCUCCUCUCCUGUACAGUCGGACACAGAGUUCGAAAUGCGAAAGAUCACACAAGAAGGGAAAGACAUGGAGGACGACAAGGGUCAUCAACAAAGCUGGAGAUGGGGAGAACUUCCAAGUCCACCACCGGAGUCUGCGCACGCGUCGCACAGAAACUCAUUGAAUUCAUCAGCAGCAACUGCUCAGCCUAACGAUCCUGAGGCACAUCGCUCAAUGCUCAGUGGUAUGUUCUCCUUCAUGAAGAAGACCUCACGCGUUAGGCACAAUCCGGAGUCUGAAGGGAUUUACCUGAGUGAUCUGAAUGCCGACGAAUUAGAUCCCGAGGUCGCUGCUCUCUACUUCCCAUCAUCCUACCGUGGACAGUCCGCCGUUAAAGAAGGGAAGAGUUUGGAUGAAGAAGAUACUGAAUCAGGAAAUGGACCGAGCUUACCCCAAAGCCCGAACAGCGUGGAGGGUGCUAUCGGUGGUCCAAAGUCACUGGACAGUGACUUCGAGGAGCCGAAACACUCUUUGUUCGACAAUCACGUCGACAUAAGUCUUUCGUUAUGCGGCGGAUUGGAUUCCGAGCAUGGACCGUCCGAGGAGGCGUUUCAUCAAAAUUUACUUCACUUUGAGGACAUUUGUACCGAGCCAAAGUUAUAUGAGAAUCCAAAUUUGGUGGUGAAAAUCAAUGGAAAGUUUUAUAACUGGGCAACAGCUUGUCCGAUCGUCAUGACCCUAACUGUAUUCCAAAGGCAUCUGCCACAAAGUGCCAUAAACAAUUUGUGUGCUCACUACAUGUCCUUGCCAGUUCACGAGGACAAGAAACAGCAAAGCAAUGGGAAGGCAGAAGGUGGUCGCAGCGGAUACAGCUCCUGGUUCUUGUGGCGGCGAUCCACUCAGCCCUCGAAGAAGAUCGAAGAUGCUGCCCGAGCCGACGAACCCGCGAUUGACAUUACGGAGGAGAUCGUACAGAUCAAAGAGAUGAACGUCGUUGACACGAUACCUGUUGAAACACAGCCAAAGCUGAACGAGGAGAACGUGGACGAUCGGACCACGUUCGAGGUGGUGCAGGACAGUUUGCCAAGUACUCCAGAGGAAACUAUAUUAGUGAAAAGCGAAAAGGAACGCGACAGGGAAGGCGAAGGUUAUAGCGGUAGCGAAGACUCUGAUAGCAAUCAGAAUGAGCCACAAGGUGUCAAAAUACCAAUAGAAAGGCGACCUUACUACGAGCCCACUGAGAAGUAUCGUAAGACACUUCGGCUCUCGUCGGCUCAAAUCGCUAGUCUCAAUCUGAAGGAAGGCGCCAAUCAGGUCGUCUUCAGUGUCACUACGGCAUAUCAAGGCACCACACGCUGCAAGUGCCAUAUCUAUCGAUGGCGCUGGGACGACAAGGUCGUCAUAUCCGAUAUCGAUGGCACCAUCACCAAGUCGGAUGUCCUUGGUCACAUCUUACCGAUCGUCGGCAAGGAUUGGGCACAGUCUGGAGUUGCUCAGCUCUUCACCAAGAUCAAGAACAACGGUUACAAGCUUCUGUAUCUGUCUGCGAGAGCCAUUGGCCAGGCAAGGGUCACUAGGGAAUAUUUAAAGAGUAUCAAACAGGAUGAUCUGUCUCUACCGGAAGGACCGUUACUCUUGAAUCCCACGAGCUUGAUUUCCGCUUUUCAUCGUGAGGUCAUCGAGAAGAAACCUGAAGAAUUUAAAAUCUCUUGUCUCAGCGAUAUUCAAGCACUGUUCCCUGCUGACUCGAAACCGUUCUACGCUGGAUAUGGAAAUCGUAUUAAUGACGUUUGGGCGUAUCGAGCUGUAGGCAUUCCCAUAAUGCGAAUCUUCACUAUCAAUCAUCGCGGUGAAUUGAAGCACGAGCUCACUCAGACAUUCCAAUCCUCCUACACGUGUCAGAGCGGUAUCGUCAAUGAGUUGUUCCCGCCACUGUCAACAUCAUACGUCUGCUGAUUGGCGGCACAACCUGAUUCAGUUUACACUGCUUUUUUUUUUUAUCGCACGGAAUUCAAUAUUUCGUCCAAUUUCAUUAAUUUCUCUGGUGUUAUUAUAUCGAUGCCAUUGAGUUUUGCAUAGAUACCAGUUUUAGACUUCUUCGAUCUUAGACAAUCGAAAAGAUAUCCCAAUGAGACAGACUUCCGUUUGGCUGUUUGUUCGCACGGUUCUACUCUUUAACGCAAUUCCAAUAGAUAACUUACUACUAGUUGUACAGUGAUCAUAUUUAUUUAUUUUUUAAUUUACUUGUAAGGCUCGCUCACGUAGAAUACAAAGUUACAAACAAUUAUCGAGUUUUGUAUCUUGUCAAUUAUUGUAAAUACGUUACAUUGUAUUUGUGGGAAACAGUUCGAUGCGCGUACAUCGCUCUGACGUGAUACGUUAUUUAUUUUAUUUUCGUGCUAUCAUUUUUUUUUUAUUUGAUAACGUCGGUCUGUCUUAAGAGCUUUACUUCCAAUGGCUAAUCUUAUCAAAAUUAGCGAGUCUACGCGGUUACCAUACUCGUUGAUAACUUCCUUUCUCGAAUUUUCAUUAAUUAUUGUACACUGAUGAGGUAUUUGGUUGUGCAUCCUACAUCCCUACCUAUCAUCUUAUGAUUUAUAGGGUACUCGAACAUGAGCUUCAUUGUCGAUCAUCUGUUUCCGCCUUUGCGAGAAGACGCGGCUGAUGAGUUCAGUAACUUUGCAUAUUGGCGCGAACCGAUACAGGAUGUUCCGAAGUUAUCGGCACUCUCGCUCGAGAGUCAGGGUACUCAGUAAUCAUAAACGAAAUUAAGGAGAUGUUUCCCUUUUCGUACCGGAGCAAUAAUACUUUGCUCACAACGUAAUGAGAAUGAUUGUCCUACUUACGAUUAGCUAACUUUUAUACUCUAUGUUAUUGAUCGUAGUGAUCCUGGCUGGUGAGAUGCUCCCCAAUGUACUUUAUUAUUCAUUUGUAUCUUUUCGCUCUUCUACUUUUGCUCUUCGAACAGAUCUUUGUACAGACAGGUACUGCGUACCUUCUCUUCGAUGGGAAUUGUAACUCAGAGAAAAUGUCAUUCGACUUACAAUACAUGUCUGUAUGGAUGCAGCGAACAGUUUGCAAUUGGCAAUUAUGCUUUUUGUUUUGGUGUUUACGUGAAAGCACAUUCCAAGACGGGUGAUACGUAUUAAUUAAAUUAUUGUCUAGUAGGUUACCGACGCCGGCUGUUCAUUUAGAUUUUAGUUCCUAUUGUCAUUGUCACACCAGCCACAGUUCACGAUGCGCGCCUAGCAGCUUAAUUAUAGCCUAGCAAUUAGCUGCUCCGAGCCGAAUAAAAAUUAAUCCGCUUAUACGCAGAGUAUUAAAAAAUGUCAGGAUGCACACGAUCCUUAAUGGCAAUCAGAAUCGACUUGUCUUAUCCGUGACAAUUAAGAUUAUAAUUUCGUUCAAUGACCUGCUUCGAAACUCGCGCGAAUAUAAGUUGAUACAAUUUCUAUCCCGGUAUCGGUAUGAUCGAUCCGGACUCACUGCGUUGAAGAUUUAUGUAAAAUCUUUCAUUUAAGAUUUACGUCAAGUAGCUAUGACAAUGUUGUACUGUAACUUGGUUGUCAAAAAUCCUAUUUAAUUUUAGUCACUCUUCUACGCAGUGGGUCUUUGACAUUUUGCUUUCGAUACACCAAAAGUUUAUCACUGUACAAUUCUCUCCAUUUCCAUGUCACUCGAAUGCCUGUUUAUAUUUAUUUUUCAUUUCUUAAGAUCUCUCUGCACUACUUGCCGCGAUUAUACAAAUUGUGCAUUAUUGUGCUACUUUAAUCAAUUCAAUUGAUAUUUUCAUGUAUCAUUUGUUAAUAUCGUCUCUCUUAUUCUUAGUCAAAUUUGUCAAUGUCCUCUAAACAAUCGUGCCGACACGUCAAUCUUGUCCGAAUGUUACAAAUGAUUGAAUAUAUCUUGUCUUUGUUUUUGUUUUCUUACGAUUGAUUGUGAAACUACGAAAUAUCAACUUUGUCCUUCGUUCGAUACUCUAGAGCAAUUACUUUAAAAAGUUCCUAGAUAAUCACCGUCGUAGAUUGUCACUAUUAUUGUUUAAUUAAACGAAAUUCGCGUAUCCUCGUUCAUAUUGCAAAAGUAUGGUAUUGAGCGUUACUAAAAUUUGGAAAAUAUUAAGAAAAAAAAAUUGAGAAACAAAUGUCAAUUCUGCAUCAAUCAAUGUUAUAUAAUGAUGCAGGGAUGACACGAGCCAAAUAGGGCUGAGGAGAGUAUUCCCAUUGUGGACGAAUUUCUUUCUGAUAAAUUUCAUAUCAAUUUAUAUCACAUUUCACGAGCAAUGUGAUUCUUCGAUCGGGACAUAGGCACAACGAAACUUUCCUCAGCGAACAAGGAAGAAAAAGUAGAAAGGAGGACAGAGAGAUACAAAAAAAUAAAUUCGUUGGACAAGUUAAUUAUAGCAAAGCUAUUUUUUUAAUUCGCCUAGCUGAUAUACUUUACUGAAUCGAUAGAAAGCAUAGGAGGCGAAACACACGAUAAAGUAGCAAUGAUAAAUAUUGAAAACGGUGAAAUAAAGAAAAGAAAAGCCAGGGCUACUGUGUUUUUACCAAAGAAAGUUUACGAAAAACGUAACCGAGCUGUGCUUCUCUCGAAUCGAUCGAUUCUUAUUUUUAUGUGUAAAAGAAAGCUCGAAAUAGUUCUAUGGCGAUUGGUGAGCGCGACUGCUUUAUUAUUUUCUUUUUUCUUGCGUCACUAUCGUUUCGCCUAGUUUUACUUUUUCGAGCAGAAUUACGAAUCGCGGAUUAAACGUACUGAACAAAGACGGUUUGAUACAUUCGUACAUAAAUUCUCAUUGGAUUUAGUAUACACUAAGUUUAUUAUUAAUUUUGUUGUCGAUGUUAUUAUUAUUGCUAUUAUUAUUAUUAUUAUCAUAUUCUUAUUCUUAUUAUUUUGUAAACCGUGUAUAUAAUACGAACGAGUAUGUUGUGUAAAGGAAUUUGUGUAUAAAAAGAAUAUAUAUACAAUUUAUUUUUUGACAAGACUCUUAUCUUUCGUUGGGGCGACGUUGCUCGCGUUAUUAUUUAUUUGCUUGGUUGGGUCGAAGCUUUAAUUUCUUCAUUGGUUGUGUAUUUAUUUUACGUUUGUUCUUAUCUUAAAUACGCACGUAGCCCGCGCGCGUACUUAUUUGUACAUUGUGUUUCAGUACGUAGACGAGAGAGAACGGAGGAAAUAUACCUGAUACGAGCGUAAUAUUUAUUUGUCGUUGUCAUAAAUGUUGACGAUUAAUUGACAGUUGUUGCUUGACGCUUAAUAUAUCAUUUAAGAAUAUACGACUGUAACGGAAUCCAUAUUGCUUAUGGUGAACGAAGGUGGAGGAUGGACGUUAAUAUUUUUUGUAGAAUCUAGAGCUCCAGAUAGGAUGUUAUUUUUUAUUUAUGUCGUAUUAAAUUGAUAUUGCAAUAUUACUUGUGGUUGCAUAUCAAAUAGUAA